rnacentral:rRNA from 1 species
UACGUAGGGUGCAAGCGUUGUCCGGAAUUAUUGGGCGUAAAGAGCUCGUAGGCGGUUCGUCGCGUCGGCUGUGAAAUCCCGAGGCUCAACCUCGGGUCUGCAGUCGAUACGGGCGGACUGGAGUUCGGCAGGGGAGACUGGAAUUCCUGGUGUAGCGGUGAAAUGCGCAGAUAUCAGGAGGAACACCGAUGGCGAAGGCAGCUCGCUGGGACGGUACUGACACUGAGGCGCGAAAGCGUGGGGAGCGAACGGG